UGGUCCAAGUGAACAGGAUGAAUGAGCAGGACCGUUUGGUAAGAAAACGAUUUUAUCUUCCUGACAUGCACUAGAACUCAUCACCUUGGAAAACGGUGUGUGAAUUCACUAAGCAC
rnacentral:miRNA from 1 species